UCAUAAUGAUAGUGCAUUACCUUUUCUGCUUUUGGAUUCAACUGUUUUUUCUUGGAAAACUUUUAUACAAUUUCCCUAAUUUGAGUUGUUUAUCUGUAGUCCAAAUUGAGAGCCAAACUUAUAACAUGGUUCAGUGCAACUACCACCCAACUAAGGUGAUUUCUGAGACAAAUUUGAGCCUUUUGACUGGUGUUGCUUCAUCGGCCUACAAAGAAAACAGAGAGUUCUAGUAAAUGAAGG
rnacentral:lncRNA from 1 species